GGAGCUAAUACCGGAUAACACAUAUCUUCGCAUGAGGAUAUGUUAGAAGGUGGCUUUUAGCUACCACUCAAGGACUUGGGCCCGCGGCGCAUUAGCUAGUUGGUGAGGUAACGGCUCACCAAGGCGACGAUGCGUAGCCGACCUGAGAGGGUGAUCGGCCACACUGGGACUGAGACACGGCCCAGACUCCUACGGGAGGCAGCAGUAGGGAAUCUUCCGCAAUGGACGAAAGUCUGACGGAGCAACGCCGCGUGAGUGAUGAAGGUUUUCGGAUCGUAAAGCUCUGUUGUUAGGGAAGAACAAGUACCUGUUAAAUAAGCAGGUACCUUGACGGUACCUAACCAGAAAGCCACGGCUAACUACGUGCCCAGCAGCCGCGGUAAUACGUAGGUGGCAAGCGUUUGUCCGGAAUUAUUGGGCGUAAAGCGCGCGCAGGCGGUUCCUUAAGUCUUGAUGUGAAAGCCCACGGCUUCAACCGUGGAGGGUCAUUGGAAACUGGUGAGAACUUGAGUGCAGAAGAGGAGAGCGGAAUUCCACGUGUAGCGGUGAAAUGCGUAGAGAUGUGGAGGAACACCAGGGGGAAGAGGCGGCUCUCUGGUCUCUCACUGACUGAGGCGCGAAAGCGUGGGGAGCGAACAGGAUUAGAUACCCUGGUAGUCCACGCCGUAAACGAUGAGUGCUAAGUGUUAGAGGGUUUCCGCCCUUUAGUGCUGCAGCAAACGCAUUAAGCACUCCGCCUGGGGAGUACGGUCGCAAGACUGAAACUCAAAGGAAAUUGACGGGGACCCGCACAAGCGGUGGAGCAUGUGGUUUAAUUCGAAGCAACGCGAAGAACCUUACCAGGUCUUGACAUCCUCUGCUACUUCUAGAGAUAGAAGGUUCCCUUCGGGGACAGAGUGACAGGUGGUGCAUGGUUGUCGUCAGCUCGUGUCGUGAGAUGUUGGGUUAAGUCCCGCAACGAGCGCAACCCUUGAUCUUAGUUGCCAGCAUUCAGUUGGGCACUCUAAGGUGACUGCCGGUGACAAACCGGAGGAAGGUGGGGAUGACGUCAAAUCAUCAUGCCCCUUAUGACCUGGGCUACACACGUGCUACAAUGGAUGGUACAAAGGGCUGCAAAACCGUGAGGUCGAGCCAAACCCAUAAAACCAUUCUCAGUUCGGAUUGUAGGCUGCAACUCGCCUACAUGAAGCCGGAAUCG
rnacentral:rRNA from 1 species